GAUGAACGCUAGCUACAGGCUUAACACAUGCAAGUCGAGGGGAAACGAUAUUGGAAGCUUGCUUCCGAUAGGCGUCGACCGGCGCACGGGUGAGUAACGCGUAUCCAACCUGCCCACCACUUGGGGAUAACCUUGCGAAAGUAAGACUAAUACCCAAUGACGUCUCUAGAAGACAUCUGAAAGAGAUUAAAGAUUUAUCGGUGAUGGAUGGGGAUGCGUCUGAUUAGCUUGUUGGCGGGGUAACGGCCCACCAAGGCGACGGUCAGUAGGGGGUAUUGGAGUAAGGUCACCCACAUUGGAACGGAGACACGGUCCAAACUCCUACGGGAGGCAGCAGUGAGGAAUAUUGGUCAAUGGGCGAGAGCCUGAACCAGCCAAGUAGCGGGCAGGAUGACGGCCCUAUGGGUUGUAAACUGCUUUUAUAGGGAAUAAAGUGAGUCUCGUGAGACUUUUUGCAUGUACCUUAUGAAUAAGGACCGGCUAAUUCCGUGCCAGCCGCCGCGGUAA
rnacentral:rRNA from 1 species